AUACGGAGGGUGCAAGCGUUAUUCGGAAUCACUGGGCGUAAAGGACGCGUAGGCGGGUUGGCAAGUCAGAUGUGAAAUCCUACAGCUUAACUGUAGAACUGCACUUGAAACUGCUAACCUAGAGUAUGGGAGGGGGAGAUGGAAUUAGUGGUGUAGGGGUAAAAUCCGUAGAUAUCACUAGGAAUACCGAAAGCGAAGGCGAUCUCCUGGAACAUAACUGACGCUAAGGCGUGAAAGCGUGGGGAGCAAACAGGAUUAGAAACCCUAGUAGUCC
rnacentral:rRNA from 1 species